rnacentral:rRNA from 1 species
AUUCAAAUCCUUUAACGAGGAUCUAGCGGAGGGCAAGUCUGGUGCCAGCAGCCGCGGUAAUUCCAGCUCCGCAGGUGUAUAUCUAUGCUGCUGCGGUUAAAAAGCUCGUAGUUGGAUCUGCGUGCUCGGAACUGGUUGGCUCACUGAGUUCAAACUGGUCUCCGGCGCUUUAUUGGCUGGUUUUCCCUUGAUGCUCUUAACCGGGUGUCUUGGGUGGCUAGCACGUUUACUUUGAAAAAAUUAGAGUGCUCAAUACAGGCGUAAAGCCUUGAAUAGUGGUGCAUGGAAUAAUAGAAUAGGACCUCGGCUCUAUUUUGUUGGUUUUCGGAACGCGAGGUAAUGAUUAAGAGGGACAGACGGGGGCAUUCGUAUUGCGACGUUAGAGGUGAAAUUCUUGGAUCGUCGCAAGACGGACGACUGCGAAAGCAUUUGCCAAGAAUGUUUUCAUUAAUCAAGAUCGAAAGUUAGAGGUUCGAAGGCGAUCAGAUACCGCCCUAGUUCUAACCGUAAACGAUGCCAACUAGCGAUUCGCAGGCGUUAAACAACGACCUUGCGGGCAGCUUCCCGGAAACGAAAGUGUUCGGGUUCCGGGGGAAGUAUGGUUGCAAAGCUGAAACUUAAAGGAAUUGACGGAAGGGCACCACCAGGAGUGGAGCCUGCGGCUUAAUUUGACCCAACACGGGAAAACUCACCCGGCCCGGACACCGUAAGGAUUGACAGAUUGAGAGCUCUUUCUUGAUUCGGUGGGUGGUGGUGCAUGGCCGUUCUUAGUUGGUGGAGCGAUUUGUCUGGUUUAUUCCGAUAACGAACGAGACUCUGGCCUACUAAAUAGUGGGCGGAUUCUUUCUGUCCGCAACACUUCUUAGAGGGACAAGCGGUGUUCAGCCGCACGAGAUUGAGCAAUAACAGGUCUGUGAUGCCCUUAGAUGUCCGGGGCUGCACGCGCGCUACACUGAAGGAAUCAGCGUGCUUUCUGACCUUGCCCGAAAGGGCUGGGUAACCCGAUGAAAAUCCUUCGUGAUUGGGAUAGGGACUUGCAAUUAUUUCCCUUGAACGAGGAAUUCCCAGUAAGUGUGGGUCAUAAGCUCGCGUUGAUUACGUCCCUGCCCUUUGUACACACCGCCCGUCGCUGCCCGGAACUGAGCCGUUUUCGAGAAGAACAGGGACCGUCGUUGAAGGGCCUUAACGGGCUUUUCUCUGAUAGAAA